rnacentral:ncRNA from 2 species
UAGUGUGGCGCACGCAGUGGUCCUCCCCGCGAUGAGUGGGGAGGGGCAAGAGGGAAGCCGGCGAGAUUCCGGCACUGCCCCGCAGCGGUAUGUGAGGACGAAAGCCGUCAUCAGCACUGGGUGACCUGGGAAGCGACGGCCGGUAGGCGCGGUGAGACCCGCACAGUCACGAGUCCGAAGACCUGCCAUUGCCCCUGCCGCAGC